rnacentral:rRNA from 1 species
GACGAACGCUGGCGGCGUGCUUAACACAUGCAAGUCGAACGAUGAAGCCGGAGCUUGCUCUGGUGAAUUAGUGGCGAACGGGUGAGUAACACGUGAGUAACCCGCCCUUGACUCUGGGAUAACUGCUAGAAAUGGUAGCUAAUACCGGAUACGACCCUCGGAGGCAUCUCCAGGGGGUGGAAAGAAUUUCGGUCAAGGAUGGACUCGCGGCCUAUCAGCUAGUUGGUGAGGUAACGGCUCACCAAGGCGACGACGGGUAGCCGGCCUGAGAGGGUGACCGGCCACACUGGGACUGAGGCACGGCCCAGACUCCUACGGGAGGCAGCAGUGGGGAAUAUUGCACAAUGGGCGCAAGCCUGAUGCAGCAACGCCGCGUGAGGGAUGACGGCCUUCGGGUUGUAAACCUCUUUAGUAGGGAAGAAGCGAAAGUGACGGUACCUGCAGAAAAAGCACCGGCUAACUACGUGCCAGCCGCCGCCGUAA